ACCAGUGCUGGGGCGGCUGCGCAGCGGCGCCACGGAACCAUCAUGUUGACAAGUCAUGUAUGCAAUAUGAAUCACUACUGGUCUAUCAAGAAUGUGACCUUAAGUUUCAUAGUACUAUUUUGUUUUGUACAAAGCUGUGGAUGUUUUUCAGAAAUAAAAAUAGGUGCUCUGUUUCAUGGGCAGGAAAGUCAGCAAGAACAAACCUUCCAGUUAGCUGUUGAACACAUUAACAGCAAACAACAUGUUUAUGAGCUGAAGCCUUAUGUACAAUAUGUAGAAGAACAUGAUGUUCUUCAAGUAGAUGCAGCAGUUUGUGAGCUGCUGUCAAAUGGUGUGUGGGCUAUAUUUGGACCUAAUUCAAGUUCAGCAUCUGAGCAAGUUCAAUCAAUCUGUGAUACUAUUGAAAUACCUCAUAUUGAGAUGAGAUGGAAUACCAAACAGCGAAGACAAGAUGUUGCUCUUAACUUAUAUCCACAUCCAAAGGCACUGUCAAAAGUGUACGCAGAUUUAGUUAAAGCAUGGAAAUGGAAGAGCUUCACUAUCCUAUUUGAAAGUGAUGAAGGGCUUAUCAGACUCAGUUAUGUACUGAAGAUGUAUGGCCCAAAGGACUUCACAGUGACAGUUCGUCACCUAAAUGAUUCUUCCAAUUACAGGCAUGUCUUGCGUAGAGUGAAAAGAUCGGGAGAAAUAAAUUUCAUCUUAGACUGUUCAAUUGAAACUUUACCUGAAAUUAUGAAACAAGCUCAGCAGGUUGGUCUUAUGACAGAUGAAUACAACUUCAUCAUAACAACAAUGGAUGUGCAUACCAUUGAUUUGGAGCCUUAUCAACAUGGUGGGACAAACAUAACUGGCUUUCAGCUUGUCGAUACCACAAGUGAUCCUGUACAAAACAUAAUAAAUUCAUGGAAGAAUUUUGAAAUAGAAGAUCUUGACAGGCCUGAUAUUGAACCAGAACAGAUUGAAGUUGAGUCUGCUCUCAUGUAUGAUGCUGUGCAUCUGUUUGAUGCUACAGUAAGAGAUAUGAGAGACCUCCAUAUUGAGGAUUCACCUUCUGGUUGUGAUAAUGUAUGGGGACAUGGUCAUUCAUUUAUCAACCUGAUGAGAGAUAGAUAUAAAACACUUCGAGGACUAACAGGACCUGUACAUUUUGACUAUGAAGGUUUUCGAACAGAUUUUAUGCUGCAUAUAGUGGAGUUGACAGUUGAUGGACUGCAGAAGAUUGGCACAUGGAAUUCAACCACUGGACUUACCUUAAUACGAGAAGAAGUAUCAACUGAAGUGAGACAAGAGGAAAGCCUACAAAACAGGACACUCAUAGUGUUAACAGCAAUUAGCAAGCCAUAUGGCAUGCGAGUGGACACCAGUCAGACAUUAAAGGGAAAUGAUAUGUAUGAAGGUUUUGGCAUUGAUCUUAUACAUGAAAUAUCCCUUAUGCUUGGGUUUAAUUAUACAUUUGUCCUACAACUUGACAGCAAAUAUGGGACAUUAAACAAGGAAACAAAGAAAUGGGAUGGCAUGGUCAGAGAACUUCUGGAUGGUAAUGCAGAUUUGGCUAUCACAGACUUGACAAUUACAGCUGAACGGGAGAGUGCUGUGGAUUUUACUAUGCCGUUCAUGAAUUUAGGUAUUGCUAUCCUGUACAAGAAACCAAUGAAGGCUGCACCAAAGCUGUUUUCAUUUAUGGAUCCUUUCUCCAAGGAUGUUUGGAUUGUAAUGUUUGCAGCUUACAUAGGAGUAUCUCUUAUGCUCUUUGUAAUGGGCAGGAUCAGUCCAUAUGAAUGGACAAACCCAUACCCCUGCAUUGAAGAACCAGAAACACUGGAGAACCAAUUUACACUGAGUAACAGUUUAUGGUUCACAAUUGGAAGCCUGAUGCAACAAGGCACAGAAAUAGCACCAAUUGCUGUGUCAACGAGAAUGGUUGCUGGUAUAUGGUGGUUUUUCACUCUUAUCAUGGUUUCAUCAUACACAGCAAAUCUGGCAGCCUUCCUUACAGUUGAAAGCAUGUAUCAACCAAUAAAAAAUGUGAAAGAUUUAGCAGACCAGAACACAAUUAAAUAUGGAGCAAAGGGAGGUGGCUCUACUCUAAAUUUCUUCAGAGAUUCUGAAGAUGAAAUAUAUCGACGAAUGUACAACACAAUGAUUAAUACACCAGGUGUGUUGACAAAAGACAACGAUGAGGGUGUGGAAAAAGUAAAAAAUUCAAACUAUGCAUUCUUUAUGGAGUCAACUUCAAUUGAAUAUGUUAUUGAACGUAACUGUGAUCUGACCCAAGUUGGAGAUAAACUUGAUAACAAAGGCUAUGGCAUAGCAAUGAGAAAAAAUAUGACAUAUCGCAAUUCGCUUAGCACUGCAGUGUUAAAACUGCAAGAGACAGGACGCCUUCAAGCUUUAAAAAACAAAUGGUGGAAAGAAGAAAGGGGUGGUGGUCAGUGUGUGGAUGCAGAAGAAAAUACUGAUGUAUCUGGUCUGAAACUUGAAAAUGUUGGUGGUGUUUUUGUAGUGCUUAUGGUUGGUGUUGUGUUUGCCAUAUUUGUUACCUUCUUUGAACUUCUAUGGGAUGUAGGGCACAAAUCUCUGAAAGAAAAAAUACCUUUCAAAAUGUUGUUAAUGGAGGAGUUACGGUUUGUUGCCAAGUUACACGGAACAACAAAACCUGUCAGGAAGUACAAUCAGGAUGCAGAAGGGGAAGAUACAAAUAAUUUCAUACCUUUGAGUCCAUACACAAAUUCAUAUGACUUUGUUGACUCAAAGGAACCGCUGACAUGAUAUGCAACUUAAUUACAUUGUCAAAGUCAUUAACAGUAAUAAAUAAAUUGCUGUGUGUGAAGGCCUGAUGGAUGCAGUCGUCAAUGCACAGUGUGUACACCAGUACUUGAAGAGGAGGCAUUAGUGCUGCUCAAAAACAUACCCUCAACAAGCUCACAGUGUGUUGCAUGGGAAAUGGGUUUAAGCCAUUCC